GGGAAAUGUGUGUGGGGUUGUGUGUGAGCCAACACAACCCUUUACAAAAUUAGGCUCC
rfam:Chlorocebus sabaeus isolate 1994-021 chromosome 18, whole genome shotgun sequence.